GGGGAAUAUUGGACAAUGGGCGAAAGCCUGAUCCAGCCACGCCGCGUGUGUGAAGAAGGUCUUCGGAUUGUAAAGCACUUUAAGUUGGGAGGAAGGGCAGUAAGUUAAUACCUUGCUGUUUUGACGUUACCAACAGAAUAAGCACCGGCUAACUUCGUGCCAGCAGCCGCGGUAAUACGAAGGGUGCAAGCGUUAAUCGGAAUUACUGGGCGUAAAGCGCGCGUAGGUGGUUCAGCAAGUUGGAGGUGAAAUCCCCGGGCUCAACCUGGGAACUGCCUCCAAAACUACUGAGCUAGAGUACGGUAGAGGGUAGUGGAAUUUCCUGUGUAGCGGUGAAAUGCGUAGAUAUAGGAAGGAACACCAGUGGCGAAGGCGACUACCUGGACUGAUACUGACACUGAGGUGCGAAAGCGUGGGGAGCAAAC
rnacentral:rRNA from 1 species